rnacentral:misc_RNA from 1 species
CUUUUGGNAACNGAAAGCGGUUGAGCGGGCUCUUCCUCCGUAGCCUGGCGGAACGCAAACGGGUUAGGCCGCGCGUGUACCCCGGUUCGAGUCCCCUCGAAUCAGGCUGGAGCCGCGACUAACGUGGUAUUGGCACUCCCGUCUCGACCCGAGCCCGAUAGCCGCCAGGAUACGGCGGAGAGCCCUUUUUGCCGAUCGAGGGGGGUCGCUAGACUUGAAAGCGGCCGAAAACCCUGCCGGGUAGUGGCUCGCGCCCGUAGUCUGGAGAAGCAUCGCCAGGGUUGAGUCGCGCCAGAACCCGGUUCGAGGACGGCCGCGGCGAGCGGGACUUGCUCACCCCGCCGAUUUAAAAACUCACAGCCUGCCCAUUUCUCCAGUUACGGGACCGAGCCCCCUUUUUUCUUUUUGACUCAUGCAUCCCAUGCUUU